rnacentral:rRNA from 1 species
CAGUCGCCGCGGGAAUACGAAGGGGGCUAGCGUUGUUCGGAAUUACUGGGCGUAAAGCGCACGUAGGCGGAUAUUUAAGUCAGGGGUGAAAUCCCGCAGCUCAACUGCGGAACUGCCUUUGAUACUGGGUAUCUUGAGUAUGGAAGAGGUUAGUGGAAUUGCGAGUGUAGAGGUGAAAUUCGUAGAUAUUCGCAGGAACACCAGUGGCGAAGGCGGCAUACUGGCUCAUACUGGACGCUGAGGUGCGAAAGCGUGGGGAGCAAACAGGAUUAGAUACCCGCGUAGUCCCUGUCUCUUAUAC